CACCAGAAAUAGUCUUCACACAUUGUACCCAUGUGGGGAAUCCAACCCGGGCCUUCAGCGUUACGAGCGAACGUUUUAACCACUUAGUUAACCCACUGCCCCAGAAAUUCUUAAAAAAACAC